rnacentral:rRNA from 1 species
UACGUAGGGUGCAAGCGUUAAUCGGAAUUACUGGGCGUAAAAGCGUGCGCAGGCGGUUCGCUAAGACAGAUGUGAAAUCCCCGGGCUUAACCUGGGAACUGCAUUUGUGACUGGCGGGCUAGAGUAUGGCAGAGGGGGGGGUAGAAUUCCACGUGUAGCAGUGAAAUGCGUAGAGAUGUGGAGGAAUACCGAUGGCGAAGGCAGCCCCCUGGGCCAAUACUGACGCUCAUGCACGAAAGCGUGGGGAGCAAACAGG